AUACGCUUGGAUCUUAAAAAAGUUUGCGCUCCCCAGUUCCAUGACCCUCAUGGAAGAUGUAGAACCUGAACUUCAUGGGAGAAUGAGAUCAUAAUGUAAAUGAAAGACAUAGAACAUAAGAGAGAUAGAGAUGAAAGGAAAAUGAAACAGGAAAUUCUAGUGGCAAAACUCUGUUCUCAAGUCCCAUUAAAGGAAAACACCAGAAUUAACGAGAGCGUGGAGCCCACUUGAUCCCGUAUUUAUUUUGGCAGAUGUCAGCCUUCCAUGCGCAGACUGGAGGCAGAGAGGAGACUCCAGUUGUGGAGCUGCUGGGCUCCCAUCUGAUGGCCACCAACCUGCAACAUGCAAGGAGUAUAAGCGCUUUUGUUCAUAACUCAUGAAGAAAUUUCUUCCACAUUAAAUAUUUUCAUUUCAUGGUCCUUGAAAAUGAGCACUUCCUCGUCUUUGAUUCAGCUGUCACAACAACCCAUGAGGUGUCCAUGUUUUCCAGAUGAGGAGUCUUACUUCCAGGGUCAACUUAGUGGGAAGAAUGUGAGCUUCUCCAGAGAAGAUAUAACUUCUUGGGAAUUGCCUCUAGGCUCAGCAACUGACUGAUGAUUGACUGAAAGAAUGUGCCAGGAAAGUCUUGUUGAGAAGAGAAUUAACAAAUAAAUGAGGAUAAAUCCUUGUAGUGAGAGAGCCU
rnacentral:lncRNA from 1 species